rnacentral:rRNA from 1 species
GACAGAGGGUGCAAACGUUGUCCGGAUUUACUGGGCGUAAAGAGCGCGCAGGCGGUCGUGCAAGUCGCGUGUGAAAGCCCCCGGCUCAACUGGGGAGGGUCACGCGAUACUGCUCGACUUGAAGGCAGGAGAGGGAAGUGGAAUUCCCGGUGUAGUGGUGAAAUGCGCAGAUAUCAGGAAGAACACCCGUGGCGAAGGCGGCUCUCUGGGACGGUACUGACGCUGAGACGCGAAAGCGUGGGGAGCGAACAGG